UACGUAGGGGCCGAGCGUUGUCCGGAGUUACUGGGCGUAAAGCGCGCGCAGGCGGCUCGUCAAGCCUGACGUGAAAGCCCCCCGGCUCAACCGGGGAGGGUCGUCGGGGGACUGGCGGGCUUGAGGUCGGCAGGGGUUGGUGGAAUUCCCGGUGUAGUGGUGAAAUGCGUAGAGAUCGGGAGGAACACCCGUGGCGAAGGCGGCCAACUGGGCCGGACCUGACGCUGAGGCGCGAAGGCGUGGGGGAGCGAAACGGGG
rnacentral:rRNA from 1 species